CGGAGGCAUCUGUGGAUUGAUCAGUUCCCUGGCCCGGAGUCCCACCCUCCUCACUGGCACCGCCUCCUAUCUCAUCCUCUGCAUUUUGACCCCUCUGCCUGCCCUGACCCUGAGCCUGCCUGCCGUUCUGUACCUUACUGUCUCUGCCCUGGAUUACAGACCUCUGCCUGCCCUUGACCUGUCGUCUGCUUGCCCUGUUUUGUUAAUAAACAUGUGUGAUUCGAA